AGAGUUUGAUCCUGGCUCAGAUUGAACGCUGGCGGCGUGCUUAACACAUGCAAGUCGAACGUGAAAGUCCUUCGGGGCGAGUAAAGUGGCGCACGGGUGAGUAACGCGUGGAUAAUCUACCCUUAAGAUGGGGAUAACGGCUGGAAACGGUCGCUAAUACCGAAUACGCUCCCGAUUUUAUCGUUGGGGGGAAAGAUGGCCUCUGCUUGCAAGCUAUCGCUUAAGGAUGAGUCCGCGUCCCAUUAGCUAGUUGGCGGGGUAACGGCCCACCAAGGCAACGAUGGGUAGCCGGUCUGAGAGGAUGACCGGCCACACUGGAACUGGAACACGGUCCAGACUCCUACGGGAGGCAGCAGUGGGGAAUAUUGCGCAAUGGGCGAAAGCCUGACGCGGCGACGCCGCGUGAGGGAUGAAGGUUCUCGGAUCGUAAACCUCUGUCAGGGGGGAAGAAACCCCCUCGUGUGAAUAAUGCGAGGGCUUGACGGUACCCCCAAAGGAAGCACCGGCUAACUCCGUGCCAGCAGCCGCGGUAAUACGGAGGGUGCAAGCGUUAAUCGGAAUCACUGGGCGUAAAGCGCACGUAGGCGGCUUGGUAAGUCAGGGGUGAAAUCCCACAGCCCAACUGUGGAACUGCCUUUGAUACUGCCAGGCUUGAGUACCGGAGAGGGUGGCGGAAUUCCAGGUGUAGGAGUGAAAUCCGUAGAUAUCUGGAGGAACACCGGUGGCGAAGGCGGCCACCUGGACGGUAACUGACGCUGAGGUGCGAAAGCGUGGGUAGCAAACAGGAUUAGAUACCCUGGUAGUCCACGCUGUAAACGAUGGGUGCUGGGUGCUGGGAUGUAUGUCUCGGUGCCGUAGCUAACGCGAUAAGCACCCCGCCUGGGGGAGUACGGUCGCAAGGCUGAAACUC
rnacentral:rRNA from 1 species